GGGGGGAAAAAACGGGAAAAAUCGGGAAAAAACUCCGGGAAUUCAUCACCCCCCACCCUCUCCUUUCCUUAGGGAGGAGAUUCCCAGAAUUCCCAGGAAUUUUGGGCCUUCCCGGGGUUUUUUUUCAGAUUUUUUUUGGGAUUUUUUUGGGGAUUUUUUUGGGUUUUUUUUUAAGGGAGGAGAUGCCCAGAAUUCCCAGGAAUUUCAGAAAUUCCCAGGAUUUUUUGGAGUUUUUUUUUUAAGGCUUUUCCCCCAUUUUUGGGGGGGGGUUUGGGGACCCUUUUCCCAGCACUUUUUCUGGAAUAUUCCAAUUAUUUUAUCCCAUUUUUCCAGGACUCCUUUGCCCCAUUUUUUUAAGGAAUAUCCAGGUGAUUUUAUCCCAUUUUUUAAAUGGAAUUUCCAGUUGAUUUUAUCCCAUUUUUCCAGGUGAUUUUAUCCCAUUUUUCCAGGCAAUUUUAUCCCGUUUUUUCAGGUGAUUUUAUCCCAUCUUUUUCAGGAAUAUCCAGGUGAUUUUAUCCUGUUUUUCCAAUGGAAUUUCCAGGUGAUUUUAUCCCAUUUUUCCAGGUUAUUUUAUCCCAUUUUUCCAAUGGAAUUUGCAGUUGAUUUUAUCCCCUUUUCCCAGUUGAUUUUUCCCA